rnacentral:lncRNA from 1 species
CAGCCAACUACCGCACUAAGCAAUCCAGCAACACUGAUUAUUUCAAGUGACUUUUUUUUCUCACAUGGAAGAUGUGAUUUCAUUUUGUGGUGUGUUUUUCUUGCUUUUCUUUCUUCAGUUUGGUUAAUUCGAAAAUCCGCAUAAUUCGAAGAAUUUUCGCGGUCCGGCGGCCUUCGAAUUAUCGAGGUUUUACUGUAUUCUGAAGUGGUUCC